rnacentral:rRNA from 1 species
UACGUAGGGUCCGAGCGUUGUCCGGAAUUACUGGGCGUAAAGAGCUCGUAGGUGGUUUGUCGCGUUGUUCGUGAAAACUCACAGCUUAACUGUGGGCGUGCGGGCGAUACGGGCAGACUAGAGUACUGCAGGGGAGACUGGAAUUCCUGGUGUAGCGGUGAAAUGCGCAGAUAUCAGGAGGAACACCGGUGGCGAAGGCGGAUCUCUGGGCCAUUACUGACGCUGAGGAGCGAAAGCGUGGGGAGCGAACAGG